UGAGAGAAGCCCAGUUUGCUAACAAUUACAAGACAGCGUGAUGCGUGUUAAAAUUCUAGUUGUGAACAGAAUGUGGUGGGAGUUCUGGCCAGGUCAAGGUGUAUGCUGGUCUGGCCAAGAGGAAGAGGAGGAGGAGGAGAAGGAGGAGCUGGGGGCCGGAGACUGCUUCCUAGAGGAGGGGUUUUGUGCAGCUCUGAAUCCUGCCUACCAGUUACACCUGUGAAGGACAGGCCAUGACUAAAGCAAUUCAAGUGAUAGCGAACAUCUUCCUCCAGCCUGUUCUUUGUGUGCAACCCCAUGCUGUCCGCUUCGCCCCUCUGGAGCAGCCUGCCUUUGCAAUGAAGCUCCAGACUUUCUUCUCUUUUCUCUCAUGUGCACACAGACACACCAUUUUCCAAGGUAAGAUACAAAUUUAAUGUGUAUAUACUAUAUACAUAUGGCAUUAUAAUUUAAAUGUCAAAAUUUAC